rnacentral:lncRNA from 1 species
ACCCCCCAGCGGAAAAAUGGCCAAAAAACGGGUGGGCUAUAGCCUUGGUGGGGGGCGUGGGCGAAGUUCGUCCGCCGGACUCGGAAUGGCCCCAGACUUUGCGGGCGGCCUCCGUGUGCCAAAAAUAGGCCACGGGCACAGCCGCGCCCAAAAAUCAGCCCCCGAAGGUCGGGGUCCCAAGACCCCCCAGCGGAAAAAUG